rnacentral:rRNA from 1 species
UACGUAGGUGGCGAGCGUUGUCCGGAUUUAUUGGGCGUAAAGCGCGCGCAGGUGGUGCGGUAAGUCUGUCGUGAAAUCUCCCGGCUCAACUGGGAGGGUGCGGUGGAGACUGCCGGACUAGAGGCACUCAGAGGCCGGUGGAAUUCCCGGUGUAGUGGUGAAAUGCGUAGAGAUCGGGAGGAACACCAGUGGCGAAGGCGGCCGGCUGGGGGUGACCUGACGCUGAGGCGCGAAAGCGUGGGGAGCGAACGGG